rnacentral:rRNA from 1 species
UACGUAGGGCGCAAGCGUUGUCCGGAAUUAUUGGGCGUAAAAGAGCUCGUAGGCGGCUUGUCACGUCGGGUGUGAAAGCCCGGGGCUUAACCCCGGGUCUGCAUUCGAUACGGGCAGGCGUAGAGUGUGGUAGGGGAGAUCGGAAUUCCCUGGUGUAGCGGUGAAAUGCGCAGAUAUCAGGAGGAACACCGGUGGCGAAGGCGGAUCUCUGGGCCUUACCUGACGCUGAGGUGCGAAAGCGUGGGGAGCAAACAGG